GCUUUUUUUCCACUACAGGUUUGGACCCUGAUCCAGCAAGUUACUUUAAUCAGAUGAAGUAACUGGCAAAUCCUCAGUGAAGGCUCCUUCACACAGUCAAAGAUAAAGUUGCUAUAAACUUGCUACUGCUGCUGCUCAAAGGUCAAAAGACAUCUUGGAAAUGAAGAUCAAGAAUCUCUCUCUGCUCUCCUCCUCCAAGGAACCCUGUGAAAUGCAUCAGAGUCUUAAAGAACUAGGAAAUCUGGUGAGAUGGAAUAUAGGGACUUAACAGAUGAACAUAAGAAGCACAGUAUCUUAAAAAAGUUUAAUCCUGCAAACCAAGUGGAAUGAGAAAAUCUCUGAAUUUUUAGCCAUUCUCCAGGCAAAGACCACAAAGUUCACCAUAUCCAGAAUGACGUAAGCAAACUGAAUGGAUCUAUGUUUUAAUUGCAAGGGGGCAUUGCAUUGACCAGAGCAGGGUUAUUCUCCCCCCCUCCCCAAACCAGCUUCAGAAACUGUGGUAAAUAUGAACAUGCUGCCCAGGCCUGUUGCAUGCCACCCA
rnacentral:lncRNA from 1 species